rnacentral:rRNA from 1 species
GACGAACGCUGGCGGCGUGCACAACACAUGCAAGUCGAGCGAUGAAAUCCCUUCGGGGACGGAUUAGCGGCGGACGGGUGAGUAACACGUGGGCAACCUACCUCAAAAUGGGGGAUCGCCUCCCGAAAGGGAGAUUAAUACCGCAUAACAUUAGUUUCUCACAUGAAGAACUAAUUAAAGGAGUAGUCCGUUUUGAGAUGGGCCCGCGGCGCAUUAGCUAGUUGGUGAGGUAAUGGCUCAACAAGACGACGAUGCGUAGCGGACCUGAGAGUGUGAACGUCCACAUUGAAACUAAGACACGUUCCAGAUGCCUACGGUAGACAGCAGUGGAGAAGUUUGCACAAUGGGGGAAACCCUGAGGGAGCAACGCCGCGUGAAUAAGGAAAAUCUUCGUAGUGAAAAGCUCUGUCUUUUGGGACGAUAAUGGCGGUACCAAAGGAGGAAGCCACGACUAUCUACGUGCCAGCCGCCGCCGUAAAAC